GAUGUGCUGGUACAAGCGUGUAGGGAGUGACCUUAGGCAAAUCCGGGGUCACAAUUCUGAGGCGUGAUGUGGGGUCCCAACACAGGGACGAAGGUAUCGAUGCCAUGCUUCCAGGAAAAUCUUCUAAGCUUCAGAUAGCAGUUGACCGUACCGUAAACCGACACAGGUGGGAAGGUUGAGAAUACCAAGGCGCUUGAGAGAACUCGGGUGAAGGAACUAGGCAAAAUGGUACCGUAACUUCGGGAGAAGGUACGCCCUUGCUGGUGAUGAGACUUGCUCUCUGAGCUGGUGGGGGCCGCAGUAGCCAGGCCGCUGCGACUGUUUAUUAAAAACACAGCACUCUGCAAACACGUAUGUGGACGUAUAGGGUGUGACGCCUGCCCGGUGCCGGAAGGUUAAAUGAUGCGGUUAGCGCAAGCGAAGCUGUUGAUUGAAGCCCCGGUAAACGGCGGCCGUAACGAUAACGGUCCUAAGGUAGCGAAAUUCCUUGUCGGGUAAGUUCCGACCUGCACGAAUGGCGUAACGAUGGCGGCGCUGUCUCCACCCGAGACUCAGUGAAAUUGAAAUCGCUGUUAAGAUGCAGCGUAACCGCGGCUAGACGGAAAGACCCCGUGCACCUUUACUAUAGCUUCACACUGAACUUUGACUGGGUUUGUGUAGGAUAGGUGGGAGACUUUGAAGCCGGAACGCUAGUUCUGGUGGAGUCAACCUUGAAAUACCACCCUAACGUAGUUGAAGUUCUAACCUAGGCCCGUGAUCCGGGUCGGGGACAGUGUGUGGUGGGUAGUUUGACUGGGGCGGUCUCCUCCCAAAGAGUAACGGAGGAGCACGAAGGUGGGCUAAUCACGGUCGGACAUCGUUUUUUGUGCAAUGGCAUAAGCCCGCUUAACUGCGAGAUCGACGGAUCGAGCAGGUACGAAAGUAGGUCAUAGUGAUCCGGUGGUUCUGUAUGGAAGGGCCAUCGCUCAACGGAUAAAAGGUACGCCGGGGAUAACAGGCUGAUACCGCCCAAGAGUUCAUAUCGACGGCGGUGUUUGGCACCUCGAUGUCGGCUCAUCACAUCCUGGGGCUGUAGCCGGUCCCAAGGGUAUGGCUGUUCGCCAUUUAAAGUGGUACGCGAGCUGGGUUUAGAACGUCGUGAGACAGUUCGGUCCCUAUCUGUCGUGGUCGUUAGAGAUUUGAGGGAAGCUGCUCCUAGUACGAGAGGACCGGAGUGGACGAACCCCUGGUGUUCCGGUUGUCACGCCAGUGGCAUUGCCGGGUAGCUAUGUUCGGAAGGGAUAACCGCUGAAAGCAUCUAAGCGGGAAGCCCCUCCCAAGAUUAGAUCUCUCAACCCUCGAGGUUGUAAGGGCCCUUGUAGACUACAAGGUUGAUAGGCUGGGUGUGGAAGCGCAGUAAUGCGUGAAGCUAACCAGUACUAAUUGCCCGAGUGACUUGGUCGA
rnacentral:rRNA from 1 species